rnacentral:rRNA from 1 species
CGCCCGAAAUAAGCGGAGGAAAAGAAACCCAACAGGGAUUGCCCCAGUAACGGCGAGUGAAGCGGCAACAGCUCAAAUUUGAAAUCUGGCCCCAGGCCCGAGUUGUAAUUUGCAGAGGAUGCUUUGGCGCGGUGCCUUCCGAGUUCCCUGGAACGGGACGCCAUAGAGGGUGAGAGCCCCGUACGGUUGGACACCAAGCCUUUGUAAAGCUCCUUCGACGAGUCGAGUAGUUUGGGAAUGCUGCUCUAAAUGGGAGGUACAUUUCUUCUAAAGCUAAAUAUUGGCCAGAGACCGAUAGCGCACAAGUAGAGUGAUCGAAAGAUGAAAAGCACUUUGAAAAGAGGGUUAAACAGCACGUGAAAUUGUUAAAAGGGAAGCGCUUGUGACCAGACUUGCGUCCGGUGAAUCACCCAGCUCUCGCGGCUGGGGCACUUCGCCGGCACAGGCCAGCAUCAGCUUGCCGUCGGGGACAAAAGCUUCAGGAACGUAGCUCCUCUCGGGGAGUGUUAUAGCCUGUUGUAUAAUACCCUUCGGCGGGCUGAGGUACGCGCUCCGCAAGGAUGCUGGCGUAAUGGUCAUCAGCGACCCGUCUUGAAACACGGACCAAGGAGUCAACCUUAUGUGCGAGUGUUUGGGUGUUAAACCCCUACGCGUAAUGAAAGUGAACGCAGGUGAGAGCUUCGGCGCAUCAUCGACCGAUCCUGAUGUUCUCGGAUGGAUUUGAGUAAGAGCAUAUAGGGUUGGACCCGAAAGAAGGGUGAACUAUGCGUGUGUAGGGUGAAGCCAGAGGAAACUUCUGGUGGAGGCUCGCAGCGGUUCUGACGUGCAAAUCGAUCGUCAAACAUGCGCAUGGGGGCAAAAGACUAAUCGAACCUUCUAGUAGCUGUUUCCGCCCGAAGUUUCCCUCAAGGA